rnacentral:misc_RNA from 1 species
AAGUCGUAACAAGGUUUCCGUAGGUAUGUAAAAUUCUUUCCAACUCCAACAUAUUCAAUGCUAACGAUUUACAGGUGAACCUGCGGAAGGAUCAUUAACGGCUUUCCUGCUCUGCAGGAAUUCCCACCCUUGGCUAUAGACUGUUGCUUUGGCGGGCCGCCUUGAGGCGUUGGCUCCGGCUGACUGCGCCCGCCAGAGAACCCAAACUCGUUUGUUUAGUGAUGUCUGAGUACUAUAAAAUUUUUUAAAA